CGUGGACUUCAACUCCCAGAAUUCCUAGCCCUUCGCAGGACUGCCCGGGGCGUCUGGGAGCUGUAGUCCAAAACCGCUGUGGGCCCAGGAUCUAGGAAACACUGAUAAGAGGCCAAGCUCCUCCUCUUUGUUUUGUCAUUCAGCUUUCAUUGCCAGAGAUGUAAAUGCUGAGGUUUGUUGUUUUAGAGCUCUCUCCUCUCUAAACUACAAAGGAUGUUGCCAUGGCAGUUAAACUGGGAUGAUAGCGCUAUAAAUGUGCAGUGUGGCAGGGCAAGGCCAAACUCAGUGCUUUCCAUGCGGUUGACUUCCUUUCCUUCCUCGGUCGCCCACUGAACCAGGUAACAGGAUUCCCCCCCCCCCCAGGCAGGAAGCAGCCAGGCUUUGCAGCUGCAAGGCCAUUCAAUGCGAAUCAAGCCGGGCUUGUUGCAACAUCCAACAGACUUCCUCACCGCACAUGAGUUCAAGCAGGACUUACCUGGGUUGAAAAGGAUGGCCCCUUUCAGCACCAGUGCGGCAGAAAGAGGAUUCACGGUGGAAAUAGUGCAAUGUUGACAACUUGGUAUGUAUCAAAAGAUACCUCACAACCUCUGAGGAUGCCUGAAAUAGAUGUGGGCGAAACGUCAGGAGAGAAUGCUUCUGGAACAUGGCCAGACAGCCCAGAAAACAAACAACAACUCUAUCAAAAGAUGGUUCUAUAUUUCAGCUCACCCACUGAAGGGCUAUAAGCAGUGAGUUAUCGGAAGUGGGAUUUGUAGCUGGAGACAUUAAAUUGGUCUCUGGAUACUACAAAAUCCACUCUCCUUGAAUCAUUAAAGCCAUUCAGAAUGGAGGAAAGGUAGCUGUGCACCCUUAAUGUCUCAGGUGCUAACCUGAGAGCAGGGAGCGUCACCCUGUGCGGCCCUAGAAGGGAAAUUACUCACAGAAGCUUCUACGCACACCUCUGCCAAGCAGGGCCAUAAAGCGAUAACAGUAUGGCUGUCUAGUAACCCCGGCAUCUGACAGAGAGGCAGGGAGGAAGUUAUAUUAUCUUGCUUUGAGGCAAAAGGAGAUUAAGCACCAGAAACACCAUGUCAUGGUUCAAGCCGAGAUGGCACUGCCAGGUUCCUGAGUCCUGACAGCACGCUGCUACCUGCUACGCUGAAGGUCAGGAUCCGACCCGCAGCCGAACCCGUAACAAGGACAAGGGUCACUUGUGAUCCUCCUUUCCAUUGUAUAUUUAAAGGCGCCCACAAAUGGACUCUACGCACUUUUUCAAUAUGUCCUGCUUUUUCUGCUCAUCCGAUGUGGGGAGACCCAUUGACUUCUGCCGCUGAUCAUACAUCAUUUUCUCCACCAUGCUGCGUGUUUCACUGUCCAAGUCUGAGAGCUUAGGAAAUGAGAAAAUCCAUGUUUAUUCAUUUAUGCAUCUAAGAAACAUACAUUCUAUUUUAUAGCCCCACUUUUGAAGCAGGAUUACAAAAAUUCCAACAACAAAAGCACAUUAAGGGAUAACAUCAAUAGCAAAAUAAUGUGGCUCUGUCCAGGCUGCCAGUAUUGCUGAAACUGUUUCUUGUUUAUGUUGUUUACAUGCAUUUUAUUUUGUUUAUUAUUUGUUCUUUGGGCUUGGCCCUGUGUUAGCCGCCCUGAUUCCCUGCAGGGAGAUGGAGGCAGGAUAGAAAAAUAAAGUAUUAUUAUUA